rnacentral:rRNA from 1 species
CCUACGGGAGGCAGCAGUGAGGAAUAUUGGUCAAUGGACGAGAGUCUGAACCAGCCAAGUCGCGUGCAGGAUGACUGCCCUAUGGGUUGUAAACUUCUUUUAUAAAGGAAUAAAACGAGGCACGUGUGCCUUUUUGCAUGUACUUUAUGAAUAAGGAUCGGCUAACUCCGUGCCAGCAGCCGCGGUAAUACGGAGGAUUCGAGCGUUAUCCGGAUUUAUUGGGUUUAAAGGGAGCGUAGGUGGGUUGUUAAGUCAGGUGUGAAAGUUUGCGGCUCAACCUUGAAAUUGCCUGUGAUACUGGUAGUCUAGAGAACAGUUGAGGUAGGCGGAAUGCGUGGUGUAGCGGUGAAAUGCUUAGAUAUCACGCAGAACCCCGAUUGCGAAGGCAGCUUACUAAGCUGCGACUGACGUUGAGGCUCGAAAGUGUGGGUAGCAAACAGGAUUAGAUACCCGGGUAGUC